AUUAGAGUUUGAUCCUGGCUCAGGAUGAACGCUGGCGGUAUGCUUAACACAUGCAAGUCGAACGGAGUACUUCGGUACUUAGUGGCGGACGGGUGAGUAACGCGUGAGAAUCUGCCUUCAGGUUCGGGACAACCACUGGAAACGGUGGCUAAUACCGAAUGUGCAGCAAUGUGAAAUAUUAAUAGCCUGAAGAUGAGCUCGCGUCUGAUUAGCUAGUAGGUGUGGUAAGAGCGCACCUAGGCGACGAUCAGUAGCUGGUCUGAGAGGAUGAUCAGCCACACUGGGACUGAGACACGGCCCAGACUCCUACGGGAGGCAGCAGUGGGGAAUUUUCCGCAAUGGGCGAAAGCCUGACGGAGCAAUACCGCGUGAGGGAGGAAGGCUCUUGGGUUGUAAACCUCUUUUCUCAGGGAAGAACACAAUGACGGUACCUGAGGAAUAAGCAUCGGCUAACUCCGUGCCAGCAGCCGCGGUAAUACGGAGGAUGCAAGCGUUAUCCGGAAUGAUUGGGCGUAAAGCGUCCGCAGGUGGCUGUGUAAGUCUGCUGUUAAAUAGUGAGGCUCAACCUCAUAAAGGCAGUGGAAACUACACGGCUAGAGUGCGUUCGGGGCAGAGGGAAUUCCUGGUGUAGCGGUGAAAUGCGUAGAGAUCAGGAAGAACACCGGUGGCGAAAGCGCUCUGCUAGGCCGCAACUGACACUGAGGGACGAAAGCUAGGGGAGCGAAUGGGAUUAGAUACCCCAGUAGUCCUAGCCGUAAACGAUGGAUACUAGGCGUGGCUUGUAUCGACCCGAGCCGUGCCGUAGCUAACGCGUUAAGUAUCCCGCCUGGGGAGUACGCAGGCAACUGUGAAACUCAAAGGAAUUGACGGGGGCCCGCACAAGCGGUGGAGUAUGUGGUUUAAUUCGAUGCAACGCGAAGAACCUUACCAGAACUUGACAUGUCGCGAAUUUCUGUGAAAGCAGGAAGUGCCUUCGGGAGCGCGAACACAGGUGGUGCAUGGCUGUCGUCAGCUCGUGUCGUGAGAUGUUGGGUUAAGUCCCGCAACGAGCGCAACCCUCGUUUUUAGUUGCCAUCAUUAAGUUGGGCACUCUAGAGAGACUGCCGGUGACAAACCGGAGGAAGGUGGGGAUGACGUCAAGUCAGCAUGCCCCUUACGUUCUGGGCUACACACGUACUACAAUGCGACGGACAAAGGGCAGCUACCCAGCGAUGGCAAGCUAAUCUCAUAAACCGUCGCUCAGUUCAGAUCGCAGGCUGCAACUCGCCUGCGUGAAGGAGGAAUCGCUAGUAAUUGCAGGUCAGCAUACUGCAGUGAAUUCGUUCCCGGGCCUUGUACACACCGCCCGUCACACCAUGGAAGCUGGUAGUGCCCGAAGUCAUUACCCCAACCGAAAGGAGGGGGAUGCCUAAGGCAGGACUGGUGACUGGGGUGAAGUCGUAACAAGGUAACCAAU
rnacentral:rRNA from 1 species